rnacentral:misc_RNA from 1 species
AAGCGCACCUCAGACGCUGCGGUCGGCGUUUCGGAAAUGUCGUCAGUUGUUGUCGCCUUCACUUUUCAGUGUUGUUUUCCUUAUUUCUCUUUUUUUCCUGAUACGCGCACACCUUUCGCCUUUAGCCCCGUACUAAAUGAGCGCACGUUUUAGUACACAUUCGAACUGAACGCGAAAAUUGGCAGUGAAAUAGCCAAAGAAGUCGUCAGAAAUAUCCAUUUCUGUUUCGCCCGACGCGACGCUUAUCACAGCGCACAAUUUGUUAUGUUCUAAUAAGAUAACAAGUUCUAUACGACAUUUAACUCAAUUUUUGCCUUGAGCUAAAUAUGAUUUUUAUUACCUUGGUGUUACAAAUGUUGAGACUUUAGCACAACGUUUAAGGAUUACACGCAACGAACGAAACCGAUUCCUAACGAACUACAGAUAUCGUUUUCGCUUAUCGAAAAUACAACAAAAGUCUGUACCGAAUGCUGCCGCCGAAUUGCACAAAAAUUCAAUACACUUGCGAUAAGGUAAAUGGAAAUAAAUGGUGCUAUAUAUGCUCCAGUUGCAUUCAAUGAGGAGAGCCUGAAGAAUCAGAAACGAACCGAUGUGAUACUUGGAGACUAAGCAUUGCAACAACGAUACAAAAUAAAUACAUGAUAUAUAGUGUAGAAGACAAAAGGAAGAACUGCAUAGCCAUCUAACAAGAAAAAAAAAAAAAUAGUAAUUAAAUAAUUUGCUACAAGACUUGCCACAUUCAACAUGGAACACUUGGAUCUGGCGGGCUACAUAAGCACGCCCCUUAAUUGGAAUUUGGGCGGAUUCGAGCAGCAAGAUGGCAUUUACUUGUCCAGCUCGCGACAAAUGCUGGAGCCCAUCAUGGAGGAGACCUCCGAGGAUGAGGAGCACGCUCAAAACAGUUGGAAUGGCUACGACCAGCGCAACAGCAGCAGCUGCGGCGGCUUCUGGAGUUCCGCGGAGUCCGAGACGGGCUCGGUGAUAAGAGUCGAAAUUACCAAGGAUAUCGACGCAAUGUCGGAACGGGACUUUGCCUGCCCGCCCAAGCGAGCGCGCCGCUCCCUGGAGGAGCUGCAGCAACAGCCACAGCCACAGUCGCAGUCGCAGUCACAGCAGCCGCACAGUCUGGAGGAUGUGGUGCAGCUGCGUCGUCCGCCGCCGCCGCGCUACGACGCCGAGGCGCACAACAGUCUGGAGCGCUUUCUGGCGCUGGAGGCCGGCGCCCGGGACAGCUACGGCAGUCAGGGUCAGCGCAACAGCACGGGCAGCUGUCGGCGCGGCGGAAACUUUGAGGAUUUCUACUCGGACAACGAUUCGUAUCACUCGCUGUCGCGCAGCUCGUCGCUGGUGCAGUUCGAGUCGCUGGAGCGACAGAUGACGCUGCAGGAGCAGCACCAGAGCAUGAACAGUCUGGGCAACAGUUCGCCCUCGCUGCUCAGCUGCGAUACGUUGGCCAGCAGCAGCGGAGGCAGCGGCAGCGGCGGCACCAACGGCAGUCACAGCAAUCCGGACAGCCGUCGCGGCUCGGCCACAUCCCUGCUGAAGCGCUACGAGUCGAGCGAUGGCCGUCUGCAUCAGACGUACUUUGAGCUGAACAAACUGGAUUUGGAGGAGCAGCAGCGUGAACUGUUUGGUGCCUGCAAGAGUUUGCAUCAGGCCGAACUGAAAUCCGACUCGGAGUCCAGCACGAGCUCGAGCUCGUCCAGCAGCGAUAGCAGCGGUCACAGCAUGCUCAGCGCCUGUCCAGGCAAACAUGCAGAUGCGGCCGGCGCUCGACGUUUGCCCCUCAAUUCGGCGGAGAAUUUGUCUGAGGAUUCGGGCUACUGUGAGCCGAGCACAUUGCGGCGCAGCAAGAGCAAGAGCAUACCAAAGAAUUUCGACAAGCUCUGUGAGGAGGAGGAGGAACUGCUGCUGGAGCAUGAGGCAGCCACAGGGCAGGCAGCAGCAGCGGCGGCGGCAGCAGCAGCAGCAGCGGCGGCGGCAGCAGCAGCAGCAGCAGGGGCACAUUCCAAAAACUCCAAUGAUUUGUGUCAGACAAAAAUAGAGCAGCAGACAAACGAGAUACAGUCGGCAUCCACAUCAUCUCUUGGCUCUCCGACAUUGUCUAUAAAUAGCAGCGAGAGAGACACACACUCGCCAUCGCCCAGCGGAUCAGCGACGUCGUCGUCGUCGCCAUCGUCUUCAACAUCGUCCGCCGCCUCGUUCACUUGGCUGCGGAACAGUUUGCCCGAUAUACGCGAGCCGCGAGGUUCGUCGCCCAAAUUUCCAACGGACAACAACAGCUACGUGCUGGCCAACAACAAGAGCAACAACAGCAGCAGCAGCAGCACCACCACCAGCGGCUCCUCCUCUUCCUCUUCAUCCUCCUCGCCAGUGUUGGUGCGUACAGCUUCAGGCGGCAGCGUGCCCAACGAGCUGCAGCAGCUGGGCAGACGUCGACGCGCUCGUCGCCAGCAACAGCCACAACAGCAGCAGCAGCAAAGGAAUUGCCAUAGCAGUGACGGGCAUAGCUCUAGCGAGGAUUUGGAUAAUUUCGAUUGCAGCAGCUUGCCGCGCAUACGACGCAGCUGCAGCUGGAACGAACGUUGCGGCUUUGGUGGCUCAGCGGGAGCAGGAGCAGGAGCAGGAGCAGGAGCAGGAGCUGGAGCUGGAGCCGGUGCUGGCUAUCUGAAUGCGAGCUAUCAGAAUUUAACGCUACUCGACUACACGGAUCCCAGUGAGAAUUGCAAGCGCAGCUCUUUGGAUAUGGAGAAACGUACGCGCAUUGUUUCUGGCGAGGAUUACGACCAGCUCAUUUGCAAGGGCAAUUUUCUGCUGGACGAGCUGAGUCAGAUCUAUGAUAAAAACGCGUCCAUUUUGAAUGACAAAACAGCCGAGCAGGAGGAGCAGGAUGUGAUGGAUGCACCGCCGCAAGUACAGCAUGUCCAAUUGACCAUAAGGAAGCCGCCGGCACGUCAAAAGCGGCACACAGUGGAGCAGGCACCGAGUCCAGUGGAAGCAACGCCUCCAGCCGCAGAAGCAGCAGCAACAUCGGCAGCAUCACCUGCGCUGCCCGCUGCCGCCGUGAUCAGUUUUAGCAGCUUCGGCAAGACCUUCGAUCAGGAUCCGACUAAUUUGCGUACCUCCUACGCCCAGUCGCUGGAGCAAUGCAAUUUCGAGCUGCCCACUGCCAAGGUGCAAAGAGCUCCGACGACGCCAACGCGAGCGCUGCCCAAGCGACGCUUCCAGAGCACAACGGCCAAGCAGCGCAGUCUGGUCAGCAGCACGCCCAAUCUGUCGGCCUACGAUGGCGGCCAGGAGACGGAGGAUGAUAUAUAUGUGAGCAGUGCGCACAAUUCAAUGCAUCAGCUGCCGCAGACACCGACACAGCCGAAGCCACUGGGCAUACUCCUGCCGGCUGGCUCACGUAAUUCGUUUAGCAAGGAGGUGAGCUUCUGUCCCGUGGUGAGUAAGUAUUGCUGGCAGGAGCAGUCGUCGGAGGAGCCGCAGGAGGAGCAUGAGCAGACGAGCAGCGAUGAGGAGCACGAUAUUGCCGACGAUGAGGAGGAGCUGUUGGAUAACGAUGCCACUGUUAUAUUUAACACCAAAGAGAACGAAAACAUAGCAGCGCGCUACAACGCAGAGCAACAGCUAAGAGCGGGGCAGCCAGCGCAAGAGCAAACACCGCAAAGAGCGCCAGAGAGUGCAAACCAUGAGAGGGAGAGUGAGCGUGAGCAUGAGAGUGAGCGUAAUCAUGAGCGUGAGAGCAUGAUCGAUGACCAAAACACUGAGAGCGAUGAAAACAAUGAAAACAUCGUCGGCACUGUGGAAACGAAACAGCAAACAUCGCCGCAGCCCGUUUCAAGCGGCGCUGCUGUGCCAGCUGCGUCCGCUGCUGUCAGUCUUGAAACGCGCGUCGACACGAGCUCAUCGUGCGCGAUCGUUAAUAUAGUUACGCCAGUUACGCCAGUUACACCAGCUACGACAGUCACUUCAGUUACGCCUGUUACGCCAGUGCCGCCCUUACAUACACGCCCCUUAAGCCUGCAUUUGCCCAUCCUAAGUGAACCGCCCACAAAUCGCGCCCACCAAAUACUCUACGCCUCGCAGCAGCUGCUGCAACGCUACGACAGCGACGACGAUCCCAACAUGUCCAAGCCUCUGCCGGCCGCGACGCCAGCGCAUAUUGUCAGCGCCAACAACAACGAGUCGCCGCCCUCGAAGCACGCACAGCGCGCCAACAAAACGGACGAGAAACAUCCCAGCUCAAAGAGUUUCCUAUCGCGUUUCGCUCACGGUCUGCGCUUCUCGCUGCGCCGCAAGAAGAAGCAGCAACAACAACAGUCACAGCAGCAGCAGCAACAGCAGCCGCAGCCACAGCUGCAACAACAGUCGCAGCCAAUAGGCAAGCAGAGCUCAAAGCCAGUGUCCCAAAGCAAUGGCAAAAGCCAGGAUAUUAUUCACAUACCGUUGAAGCCGCCGCGCAACAAUCUGCUGGAUGAGAGCAGCGUUUCUCAGGCGAGCACGGCCAGCAUUCACAGUCGUCAGACAACGACGACAGCGUCAGCUGAGCUGGAGCAGCCAAAGACAUCGACACUGCAGAAGCUGGUAACGGGAAAACCCCCGUUGCCCAAGUUGCCACCACGGCAAACGCAUGCGCCGUAUAGUGUGGCCAGUGGUGCCAAUGGCGCUAACAGUGCUGCCCAUGCCAGCGAUGCUCUAUUGGCCGCCGAACGGGCGCAAUAUGCGGCAUUUGCCAAACAGUUGACAGCGGGCCAGCGACACGAAAUGUCGCUAACCGGAACGGAUACGGGUAUGGAUACGGCACGUGCAACCGAAUCGCCAUCGCGCGCCUCUGUGGCACAAAAGACGCAAAUGUUCAAUCAGCUGGGCGCCGGCGGCAUACAGUCGCGUCCAUUGACCAUGGUCACCGCCGUGCCGGUGGCCGUGUCGCCCCUGCCCAUGGAGGAUGACAGCGAUGCUGUUGCCGGCAAAAUGGGCCUCAUCGAAACGAAUCUGGACACACACGAAACGGUGAUAACGGGCAAAACGCGUUCCCUGAUGGACAUCACGAGCAAUCCGCUGCACAAACGGUAUUUGGUGAAGCGUCUGAAUGUCACCAGCGCCGUCUAUGAUGGCCACCAUGAUGACGAUGAUGAUAAUGAUGGCCAUCUGGAUGGUAACAAUCAACGUAUUAAGCCAUCAGCACAGUCCAACGGCGUGCAAAUCGCUUCAGUGCGUCGGCCACACAAAAGCAUGGAAUUUCUUCUGGACAAAGAGAAUCAAAAGAAUGUUUUGCCACCUGAGAAUGAGCUACAGAAAUCACAUGAUCAUAAUCCGGCCGCACUGAGCGAGCAUCAGUUGCGUGUGCAGGCAUCGCUACAGCGCCUGAAUAUACCCGACUGGUUCCGACAAUACAAUCAAAAUGCAGCCAGGUCGCCGGAUGGCGCCGGCGCUGGGGCCUCCACUGGCGGCUAUAAGCCGGGCAACUUUACGCGUAAGCGCACACAGGAUUCGGGUCGCUGGCAGGGGCUGAACUCGAAGACGACUUCGCUCAGUUCGCUGGGCUCGCAGCGCUCUGAUCGUAGUCCCCUGCUCUUGAGUCCCUCGGCGCACAGUCAUCAUGGCGGCCAGACGAGCAGUGUCAGCGGCUCGACGUCGGCCCAUCAGGGCCAUGGCCAAGGUGUUGGCGCCACGCGCUGGUCCACCUCGCAUCUGAACUCCACACAGACAUCGCCGAGCGUCUCGCAGCGCGGCAGCUUUGCCCGCGGCGCGCCCAUCAACAGCAGCUUCAUGUCGGUGGCCAGCGGCGGCAGCGCCGGUGGUGUCCUUAGGAACUCCUAUCGUCAGCCCUAUUUGGGCUGGCGCAGCACAGAGAAGCUGUCGCAGCGCACGCCCCACGAACGCUUGGCCAACUCGCUGUUAGCGCAACGCACAUCACCCACAACCGCCACGGCUGCAAAUGGUUUACGCACGGUGCAGCCAGUGACGCCGGAGAUACAGAGCUCUAUCAAGGAGGUCACCUCGGCCAUUGUGCACUAUGUGAACGAUCAGACGCAGGCGCAACAGCUGCAGCAGCAGCGCAGCCGUUCGACGAGUCCCAAUUCGAGCUACCUGUAAAACAGUCCACAGUCCACAGUCCACAGUCCACAGUCCAUCAGCACCAACUGCAACUGCAGCACUCGAGUCAGUAGAGUUUAGAGUUUAGGCUGGCCGCCACGAGCUCAGCGAUGUCCAGAGAAAGUGCUGGCUGGAGAGCAGCUUCGUUGGCACACGUCCGCUGGACUCACCGCAAACGCCCGUCAUUGACAGCAGCAGCAGCCCGCCCG